rnacentral:lncRNA from 1 species
GGGGUGGGUGUGGGGGGCACUGGAGAAAGAGUGUCACCCCCUCUCCAGAGACCGAAGGUUUCAUUCUUCUAUGACACGAUUCUCAAAGCAAUCAUAAAAAUUAUGCUUUCGUGAUUUGAGUUUUAGAACUUCUAGAUGGGGUGCUGCCCUAGACCCCACUGGGACCCCACAGUUAGUUCUUGCUAUGCAAUGAGCGAAUCCUACACGGGCUUAAAGCAACCACCACCGUUCACGGUCUCUGUCUCCUCAUGAGAUCGAGGGUUGAUGGGCACAGCUGGGUCAUUCUGCCGUCCCACGUGGAAUCCUCUAGGAGCUGUGGACAUCUGGAGGCUCACCUGAGCUGGGACUCCUCAGACGGCUCGCUCACAUGGCUGGCAGCCUCAGGAGCUUUGAGUAAGAGCUAGAACAACUGUAUGCCCUCCCACUGUGUGCUGUUCGUCCAAUCUGGUGAACUUGGAAAUACACCACCACCAUGGCCGGCACCUUCAAAU